rnacentral:pre_miRNA from 1 species
AGCCGUGCGUUGUAUGGAAGACUAGUGAUUUUGUUGUUUGAUUAUGAAUAUAACAAAAAAUCACUAAUCUGCCUACAAAGCUAGGCA